CGAGCACUUCAAAAGCACAAGAGACCAACUUGCCAGCUGUGAGAUCAUAUCUAAACACGAUUUUCACACCCAUAAUGAGGUUGAAAACAGUUCGCUAUAUUUUCCUGAACCCAAUCACUGGGAUGGUUUAUUUUGCAUUUCCUCAGGUAACACAAUAUAAAUAUAUCAUUUUUAUUUUUAUUUAUUUAUUUUUUCUUCCUAGCCUCGAGAUAUAUUAUUUUAAGCAAUUUUAUUCCAAUGUGUUGGCAACGGAUUUAUUUUUAAUUGCAUUUAAUCCUUUUUAUGUUUUUUUUUUCCAUUUAAAAUAGAAUGCCUAUUCCUAAAUCAUUUUCUAAGUGUGUGAAAUAUAUACAAUUUUACAUUAAAUGUUUUUUCCACUGACAUUGUGACUUAGAAUUUUGCUGCUUCAUUCCUAUAUCUCUGCGUGUCACAUCUACUAUUGGACAGUGCAUCGUGGAAGGCAGAAAUGGAGCAAUCUACAAAUUCAAAAGAAUGGGAUUGAGAAAGUUCAUCUAAAAGCACUAACUGUUAAAGUAGGGACAUUACCACUGACUUGAACUAACUGAUAACAGCCUAAUGUCUGUAGAAAUAGCUCUGAGUAACAGCAAAGUGCUCCCUGUAUUCAUCACUGAAUAGACUUCAGAAAGGAACAAAAGAACGUUACUUCUGCAUCCUUUCUCUAUUCACAGAAACAAAUAUAUUGGUAUUCUCAUUAAAUGGCAAAGGAGUGUGCACCUUCGAUUUGUCCAGCUCAACUCUGUGGCAGUCAACGUGUUAAAUCCCUUUUGCAACAUGUUGCUUUAUAGUAAAAUAUUUGUGCAAGUUUUCAGAACUAUUGAUCAAAAGUUAUUUGGAAACUGCCAAUCCGCCUUUGUAUUGAUCCAUUUUACUUUAUUCUGUUCCUCAUAUGGCUUUUAGGUAUUGCAGCAUUUGUUUUGUGUCCUCAGAAAUGAAAUACUUCAAAUUAGUUUCUCUUAGACACAGACAGCAACAGCCAGGUACAAGUAGGAGACAAUUUUUGAAAUUGAAACAGUUUUGCAGUAGGAUAGUUACAUUAACUUAGAUUUGAGCUUGAAGUGGAUCUGUCAGAUCUGAGUUUUGUUGCAGAAAAUGACACCUUUGGUAAAGUUUAAAAAAACAAAAAAGAAUUUGCACCCUUUUGAUUUAAAGGAUCACUAUAGUGUCAGGAAAACAAAGCGGUUUUCCUGACACUAUAGUGCCCUGAGGAUGCCCCCACCCUUAGGGUCCCCCUCCCGUGGCGCUGAAGGGGUUUAAACGUCGCGGAUGCGCCUCUAGUGGCUGUCCGGAAGACAGCAACUAGAGGCUGGAUUAACCCCAAAUGUAAACAUAGAAGUUUCUCUGAAGGGUUAAAACCUGAGGGACCUGGCACCCAGACCACUUCAUUGAGCUGAAGUGGUCUGGGUGACUAUAGUGUCCCUUUAAUUUAUACAGUUUGAGUGGCUGACCUGGCACAGCCAGAUCACCUCACGCAGAUUAAAUUAACCCUCAUGAUGAUGCAAUUAUUUAUUUAUUUAUUACUGGUAUUUAUAAAGCGCCAACAGAUUCCGCAGUGCUGUACAAUAAGUGAAGGACGUACAAUAUACACAGACAAAUACAAAAGGCAGAGAGGGCCCUGCCAAUAAGCUGAUAUCUAGCCAUUGAAGCUUUUUUAAAACAAAGUGCUUAGCUAGAUUGCCCGUGAGCUUACAAUCUAAAGGUAAAAUAGGGAAAUGAGACAAGUGGUAGCAGAGGAAAUUGAAAGUGAUGGCAAGGAGAAUUUAUAGUGUGACUGCAGUGAUUGAUAACAUGUGAAGGGAAUGAGGAUGUGAUCGACUGUGGUUGGAGGAGUCAUGCUAUAUAGUCAUGCUAUAUAGUUAGAAGAAACCAUGGUGGGCCUGAGGUGGGGCGGUUGGGUUGCUAGGGCAGAGUAGAAAUGAAGAUUCUUAGUUGCAAAGAUGGGAGUUAAAUUGGGCCUGAGAAAGAAGAAGGAUGCACAGUUAUUUAAAGGAAUUUACAGCUAGGAGUGGCAAGCAGGAGGGAGGGGGGCAGGGCCGUCUUUAACAUUAAAUGGACCCUGGGCAAGCAUUUGCUUAGGCCCCUGGAUCCUGCCUCCCCCUCACACUUGCACCCCCUGACAUGCGAUCAUGCCCUCCACCCCAACACAGUGGCAGGACGAAUGUAGAGACAGCUCUGGUGCAAGACAUUUUUUGGGCCUCCCCUCUAGCUCAAGAGUGGAGAAAAGAUAGAUUCUCAUCUGUCGUACAGCACCCACAAUGCCAUGCCAGCUGGGAAUCUACAAUUUGGACAUUCUAGCAGGGCUGUAUUUGAUGGCAGUGUUUGUGCAUUUGAAUGUGAGCAUGUUUUUGUAUAGAGUAUGUGUGUGCAUGUAGCGUGUAGUAUUGGUGUUUGAUUGAAGGGGUGUAUUUAUAUAUACUUUUUGAAUUUGAAUUCAGGGGUGUGUUUGCAUGUAAUGUUUGUGUUUGCAUGUUGUGUUUGAUUGCUGGGAUAUAUGCAUAUGCAUUCUAUACAUUCAGAGAUAUUCAUACACAUUAGCACGCAGAAACACACAAACACAUGAACACACAUGGACACAUGCACACACUGACACAAACACACAAGCUCAUACACUAGGAAACACACAGAUACAGUCACACACAAACACACACUCAGAUACACACACUUUGAUACACACACUCAGAUACACACAGACACAUGGGUACACAUACACAGAGGUACACAUGCAGGGGUGUAUUUGUGUGCGAUGUUGGCGUAGGCAUGCUGGUAUGUAUGCAUUGCCACAUAAACAGAUGCACACUUACACAAACACUGAGAUACACACAGGAUCACAGAUACACAUGCAGUGGUGUAUUUGAGGGCAAUGUUAACGUUGGAAUGUAGUAGUGUUUUUGUGUGCAGUGUUGGCACUGGAAUGAUGGUGAGAUGUAUGCAUUGCUAUAUGCAUAGAUACACACUUACACACACUGAAACAUAUACACACACAGGUACACAUACACAGACAUGCAGGUACACAUACAAAUUGACACAUAAGUACACAUAUACAGACACAGGUAUACAUACACACUGACACACAGGUGCACAUGCACUGUCAAAAACACAGCCAGAUACACACAUACCAUCAGAUACAUACACUGACACACAUACAGUCAGAUACAUACACUGACACAAACACAGCCAGAUACACACACUGACACACACAGCCAGAUACACACACACACAGAUAGAUAAACACACUGACAAAAAAAAACAGCCAGGUGCACACUCAUAGUCAGACACAUACACAGCCAGAUACACACACACACACACACACACACACACACAGAUACACACACUGACAAAAACAAAGCCAGAUACACACACUGACACAGACCCAGAUACACAACAUAUAGCUAUCAAUUUACACAGUUUAGCCAUCCUCCUUUCUCCUUACCUUUACAGAAGGGUGGCUUUCCAGAUACACAAACAGCCAGAAACACACAUACAGUCAGAUACACACACUGACAAAAACACAGUCAGAUACACACACUGACACACACACACAGCCAGAUAAACACACUGACAAAAAUACAGCCAGGUACACACUCAUAGUCAGAUACAUACACAGCCAGAUACACACACACAGAUACACACACUGACAAAAAAACAGCCAGAUACACACACUGAUACAGACUCAGGUACACAUCAUAUAGCUAUCAAUUUACAUAGUUUAGCCACCCUCCUUUCUCCUUACCAUUACAGAAGGGUGGCUUCCCUGGGGUCCAGUUGGAGAUGGAUGGCUGAGGUUGAUGGUAAUCUGAGGAACCUGCUAUCUCAGUCCCUCUCAUUCUCCUUGGUGUGUGCCUCCUCCUCCUUUUCUUCCUCCAUUUGUGCCUCCUCCUCCCCAGCAGCACUCUGUUACUUUUGAGGAAGUGGUCUGACACCACUUCCUCCCAGCAGGCAGAAAGACAAGGCCAGGUCUGGAGCACACUUGAAGGGCCAGGGGCCCCUGAUUACAUCACCUGCUGCAGCCCACCGGGAAAUUUCUCAGGAUCCCAGUGGGCUGUCAGGUCUUGGUUGCAGGCAGGGGGCCCCCCAGGAGUAAUUGGGCCCGGGGCAGCUGCCCAGUUUGCCCCUUGUUAAAGACGGCCCUGGAGGGGGGUAAGGAUGGAGUUGUAUAAAUAUAAUAAUAAUAAUAAUAAUAAUAAUAAUAGCAUCUUACAAUACAAGUGUAACCCACCUAUUCCUCCAUUUCCUGUUACAAAUAAGCAUUUUAAGCAGCCCAGUUGCAGUGCUCUUCUAUCAGAGAAACCUUCCACAAAUGUUCCACAAUCCCGCAAGUAAGGAGUAAGGAGGAAGAAGUGGUGGAACAGACUAGCUAUUUGUUGCACAUAUUAAAAUGCACAUAUUAAAAUGUGUGCCUAUUAAAAUAAUAAUAGCAUCUUACAAUACAAAUGUAACCCACCCAUUUCUCCAUUUCCUGUUACAAGUAAGCAUUUUAAGCAGCCCAGUUGCAGUGCUCUUCUAUCAGAGAAACCUUCCACAAAUGUUCCACAAUCCCGCAAGUAAGGAGGAUGGAGUGGUGGAACAGACUAGCUAUUUGUUGCACAUAUUAAAAUGUGUGCCUAUUAAAUCCUAUCAACCAGGUUAUUAAUUACUACAGGUAAAUGCAAGUACAAAUAUUAUAGUAGUAAACUAUAAGUAAGAAUGGUAACAUUUUAUUAUUGGUAUUGGUGAGUGAGCAUUUCCAGAGCAUCAUGGGGUGAUGCCUUGGACAUGUGGGGGGCAAGUAUACUUUUUCCUUCCCUCUGCUGCACUGUUUAUCCCAACAAGCACUCUAAUAACAUGUACGGGGUAAAGAAAUAAGAAAGUCUAACUUUCAGAGGAGUGACUACCCUCGUUUUGAAGGAAAAUUUUAUCCAAAUAGGUAGUUUCUUAUACAAUCUAUUUUCAUGUUCAUUGGGUAUUAAUGGAAACAUAAAAAAAAAAUUUGCUCAUGGCAGCCAUACUUUUAUUCACCUUUCUCUAGUCCCACUUGUAGCUAGACAUUAAAUCCUAAUAGACAAAAAUCAUAUAGAACGAAAAAUAAAGUAAAUAUUUAGCUGGUUAGUGUGGAUUCUAAAUCCAUAAGAGCAGCACACUGCAGACCCUUACGAUGAAGUAGCACUUAGCAAGUAUUAGGGCUGUAAAUAUCCUGUAUCUGUAUUUACCCUGUGCCUUCGAGGGCACCUGUCUCUAGUCGCACUUGCUGCUAGACACUAAAUCCUAAUAAACAGAGAUCAUAUUGAAUGAAAUAAAAUAAAGAAAAUAAAGUAAAUAUUUAGCUAGAUGGUGUGGUCGCAAGUCCAUGUGCUCUAACUCUAAAUCCAUAAGAGUAGCACACUGCAGACCCCUGACGCGCGUGUUUCGCCCAACCUGGCACGUCUUGUCGGCUUGACAAGAGGAAUACGACAUCUGAAGCCCAUGUCCAGGAUCCAUCUGUGUAUGGUGGCUCUUGAUGCACUGACUCCAGCCUCAGUCCACUCCUUGUGAAAGUCCCCAACACAUUUGAAUGGCCUUUUCCUGACAAUCCUCUCCAGGCUGUGGUCAUUCCUGCUGCUUGUGCACCUUUUUCUUCCACACUUUUCCCUUCCACAUAACUUUCUAUUAAUGUGCUUUGAUACAGCACUUUGGGAAUAUCCAACUUCCUUCGCAAUUACCUUUUGAGGCUUUCCCUCCUUAUGGAGGGUGCCAGUGAUGGUUUUCUGUACAACUGUUAGGUCAGCAGUCUUCCCCAUGAUUGUGAUUCCUACUGAACCAGACUGAGAGACCAUUUAAAGGUUCAGAAACCCUUUGCAGGUGUUAUGGCUUACUUAGCUGAUUAGAGUGGCACACUGUGAGCCUAGAAUAUUGCACCUUUUCACAAUAUUCUAAUUUACUGAGAUUGUGUAUUUCGGGUUUUCAUGAGCUGUAAACCAUAAUCAUCGCAUUUAUGGCAAAUCACAGCUUGAACUAUCUUGCUUUGCAUGUAAUGCGUCUAUCGCAUAUAUUAGUUUCCCCUUUUACAUUGCAUUACUGAAAUAAAUAUAAUUUUGCAUGAUAUUCAAAUUUUUCGAGUAUCACCUGUAUAUUAAAUGCCAACUCAUGCUAUGGCAUGACAGUUACCCAGAUCAUUCACUGAACGAGUGAGAUCUGCUGUUAUCUGCGUCAAAUCAGUUUUUCCUGCUGAGCUCUUGCAUAUGGUUUUGUAUAGUGGAGGUAAAUGCUUGGGAAGCCAAUAGUGAUUCUAAUGUACCGUAUAUACUCGAGUAUAAGCCGAGUUUUUCAGCACAUUUUUUGUGCUGAAAAACCCCAACUCGGCUUAUACUCGAGUCAGUGUCUGUAUUAUGGCAAUUUACAUUGCCAUAAUACAGACUGGGGGCUGGCAGAGAGCUGUUACUUACCUCUCCUGCAGCUCCUGUCAGCUCUCUCCUCCUCCGCCGGUCCGGUCAGCACCUCGGUCAGCUCCCAGUGUAAGUCUCGCGAGAGCCGCGGGGUCAUAGUGCGGCUCUCGCGAGACUUACAGUGUGAGCUGAGAGAAGAGCUGCACGGACCGGCGCGGAGGAGGAGAGAGCUGACAGGAGCUGCAGGAGAGGUAAGUAACAGCUCUGCCAGCCCCCCUCCUCCCCCCACUGAACUGCCAAUGCCACUGGACCACCAGGGAAGGAGAGCCCCCCUCCCUGCCAUGUAUCAAGCAGGGAGGGGGGACGAAAAUAAAUAAAUAUAAUAAUAAAAAUAAUAAUAAAAAAUAAUAAAAAAAAUAAUAAUAUAACAAAAAAAAAUUAAAAUAAUAAUUUUUUUUUUAUAAAAAUGCCCACCCCCCACCAAGGCUCUGCAACACAAACACACACUGCAUAACACACACACACACUGCACUCAUAUACACACACUGCAUUUAUACACACACUGCACUCAUACACACACUGCAUUUAUGCACACACACUGCACUCAUACACAAACACUGCACUCAUACACAAACACUGCACUCAUACAGACACUGCAUUCAUACACACACUGCAUUCAUACACACACUGCGCACUCAUACACACACUGCGCACUCAUACACACACUGCGCACUCAUACACACACUGCAUUCAUACACACACUGCAUUCAUACACACACACUGCAUUCAUCAUAUACACACACUGUAAAUAAAUAUUCAAUUAAUAUCAUUUUUUUAGGAUCUAAUUUUAUUUAGAAAUUUACCAGUAGCUGCUGCAUUUCCCACCCUAGUCUUAUACUCGAGUCAAUACAUUUUCCCAGUUUUUUGGGGUAAAAUUAGGGGCCUCGGCUUAUAUUCGGGUCGGCUUAUACUCGAGUAUAUACGGUAAGUGUUUGGUUUGAGGUCUGUUGCACUAGUGAGAGAACAACCUUCAGAUGACAUCAGCGUUCUUCAAAUUUCACACGCCACGUAAGUUUGUCAUUUUGCCCUUGUUUUCUUUGCUCUGGCUCCUGCCAUAAUGUAUCUCUUGGGCCAAUAUAUUUAUGUCAAAAGUCACUGUGAAAGCCGCUGUAGUAGCCAGUAUGCACAAAUUCUAUAUACAGUAAUGGUCUGUUCUAAAUGUUAUACUUUAUUGUUCCCUUGCUGGUCUAUUGUGGAACAAUGUAUUGAUGUGUAGGAUAUACUGUUCUGUUCAUUAGGGAUAUGAGCACAUGGCAGUUGUGCUUAUAUGCAAUAGCUGCUGCCCUUAGGCUAACAUGGUGGCAAUAGAGCAUUUAAUAUUUGAAAUAUUGACAUUUAGGCAAUGUGCUGAGCUUGAUAGAUAAUUGGCUCAUAUAUUUGAUUUCUUUACAUGAUUAAUGGGUCUUAAAGUAAAUAGGAAUACAACCGUUUGGUAUAUAGCUGUGUUUGAUAUUGUUCAGUCUAUUUUCUCCCCAGGUACUGUACUUUUCAGAUGUUUUUUUUAUAUCUUGCAGCCAGUCUUUCUCAAUCCAUGUGACCUCAGUGAAAUGUAAGUCACUUUCUAUAAUAUUUUUAAAAUAUUAAACAUCUUUUUUUUUUCAAAAUAUCGCUUUAAUUGUUUGCUUUCAACUUUUAGAUGUGUCAGUUUUAUGGAGCAGCCCUUGGAAGUGUGGUAUGUGUGGUGAGUGACACAUAGAUCCUUAUAUAGCUUUUUUUAAUAAUUAAAAGGUCAGUGAAAGCACCGUAACCAUUCCAGCAUGCAAAAGUGGUUAUAGUACCAGAUGACUCAUGAUGCAGUCUCACAUUAAGCAGCCUAAUUGUUUUGUACAGUUUGAUACUUACAUGGUACUCUUGUGUGCCUCAUGUUCAGCACUCUCCUCAGACAUACCUGAAGCAGAGGUUCCCUUUCAAAUUAGCUCAGUGUCAGACAGAUGAAACUGAUAUGACUAAUAUGGGAUGUGAGAUUUCAGCCUUACAAGGUUAUUCAAUAAUAUGAGAAUUUACUGCAAAGUGAAUUAAACAUUUGUAAGGCAAAAAUGAAAACAGAAUUCACAUGAACAUUUUUCUGUUGCUGCUAUUUCAAUUAUAUGUGAAGAGAUGGGCUGACUGGAUAGAACCAGGUAAACUGAUACCCCAUCCUUACAAUUCUAGAAACUAAUCUUAAUGCAUGGACAGUGGCUAAUAUAAGAAAUCUCUUUUCAACUGUAUGAUUAUUCCAGGCUACAAUUCUUCUCUGAUUUAGUGACAAAGUAUCCACUCCCACCUUCUGCUUUAUUCAUUUAUCUAUAUAUAUAAAACACUCAUACCAGGUUGACUCACAUGAUCAAUGCAAAAGUCAAAAACUUUGAGAGACUCUGCCUACACCCAAGUCAGAAGGUAAAAUCUCUGCUUCCAGGAAAUUACUAACACUGCUACUACUGCCUCCUCGUAACUGUCAUACAUGUUACAAUGAAAAAAUAAUUAAAGGAAUACUAUAGGGUCAGGAACACCAACAUGUAUUCCUGACCCUAUAGGGUUAAAACCACCAUCUAGCCCACUGUCGCCUGCUUGCCUCCCUAAAUAUAGUACAAUUUUACUGGUAUUCAAGUCUGCAGCUGCUGGCUCUGUCUCUGAACUGCCUCUGUCUGAUGACAUCAUCAGAUGUGGUGGUCUAAGCUAAUUACAAUGCUUCCCAAUGUGAUUGGUUGUCAAGGAGGCAGAUCUGGGGCAGAGCCAGCACAAGUCAAACACAGCCCUGGCCUAUCAGCAUCUCCUCAUAGAGAUGAAUUGAAUCAAUGCAUCUCUAUGAGAAAAGUUCAGUGUCUGCAUGCAGAGGGUGGAGACACUAAUUGGCAGUGCUGUGCACUAGGCAGUACUGCCCCAGGUAGAACCUCUAGCAGACAUCUGAGGAGUGAUCAGUGGAGUUAUCACUAGGCUGUAAUAUAAACACUGCAUUUUCGCUGAAAAGACAGUGCUUACAGAAAAAAGCCUGAAGGUUAUGAUUCUACUUACCAGAACAAAUACAAUAAGCUGUGGUUUUUCUACAAAUAUAUUCCACUGGAUCAAUGGAAGAGAAUGUCCACACAAAUGCAUAGUGUAUCCAAGUGCGUAAACCACUAUAAAACAAAACACAAACUAAUAGUGUGUUGGCACCUGGUCUCACAUAGACUCUCUGCUACUUUUCCAAACUUUCCGUCCUCCUGCUAACAUUGCAAGAAUGCAAUGGGCACCAUGCGGCACAAGUUGUGGUACUUCAUAACUCUCCAGUCUUUCUGGCAGGUGGUAGCUAAGAACAUCUCAAGGCCAAUGGGGAUUUCCCUCCCUUUUCAGCCUGAAGCCUUAUUUUUGGACAUUCCCCCUGUCAGUUGUUAAGAACCUGCAAAAACACUGAUUAUGCACAUCCUGACUGCUGUCAAAACAGUCAUAGAUAGACGUUUCCAUUACUAAAGGAAUUAUUAUUACAACAGUUGCAGAUCUCUGAACAAUAUGAAGAGAUGUCCUUUCAGAACAAAUAAAAGUCAUUUUAUUCUACAAAAUCUGGGAUUGGGAUUGUUCAGGUCUUCUGUUUUCCAUUCUCCUUCUUAUUUUUUACUUUAUAUGUCCUCCCUCUACAGUUCUUUGGAACCCUUUUUAAAUGACAGCAGAGAAUAAGGCACUUCCUUAUCCAUCAUAUUAAUAUUUUUCAAUGUACUACUUUUUUCUACAUGCAGAGAGCUAAAAUGUCUUUGUAAUUGUUUCAUAUGUAAAUUCAGCACUGUCUUGUUUUCUUAUUGCACCUCCUAUGUUUGACUAUUUACAGUGGGACAGUGCCAUGGGGCUCCUGGGACCACAACCACUCCGCCACAUAGUAGGUUUAGGAUGCUAAGACUAUGCCGUUGAGGAUGUAUUUCAAAAAUGUAAUAAUACAUUACUGUUUGGGCACUGUUUUUAUAUUUCUUACUGAAAUUAAUAACAUUUUUGAGAAUUUAUUUAUUAAUUCAGCAUAGACAUAUAAGAUUUAAAAGAAACAAUGCCUUCAUGGCAUUUCAGCACGAUUAUGCAGCAGGGUGUUUGAGAGUAAUACAUGACAAUGAAUAGCUAUCCGCUUAUAAGUAUGGAGAUUGCUUGUUGUGUUUUUCCAAGUUAAUUAAAAAAAUAUAUUAAAAACAUGGAGGGAAAGUGAAAAUGUAUUAUAAAGUAAACAUACAAAGAUUUUAAAUUGUAUUCCUUUAGCUGUGAUGUGCUGAGGGAACAUUGAAAAUAAAUUUAAUGUAUAUGGGAAUUCCCUGGUGCUGCUGAAGCACAGAUUCGUGGCUAUUUUAUAUUCUUUUUAAUUAAUAUAUUUUUUUGGAUUAUUUAUUAUGCUAUGCUGGAACCUGCUGUACCUUUCCUGAUCUGACCUCUCUGGUGGGGAUUAUUAGUAUAUCAUUGGCUUCCAGAGAUGACUCCCAAUCCAAAACUAAACCAGCAUGGAAAUGUGGUUUCUGGAAAAAACAUUUGUGAAACAUUGCAUUCUCACUUUUUGGAAAAAAAUAUAACACCUUGCAAGCUAGCUCUUGACUAAGGGUUUUCUAUUCCAAAGAUCCAUUAUAAUGUUUUCAGCUCACAUGUCAUUGUCAUGUCAUAUCCAUCACUAGAAUCAUAGGACCAAACAGGAAGGCUUUAAAAUGAAUAGCACUUGAAGAUAGCUGGUCUUACUAACUUGGGUAGCCAGCAAGCCAUCAAGAGAAGACAUGGUUUAGGUCUGCACUUUUAUUACAUAUUGACACCGCAAAUCAGUUAUUUAGCUUCGCUCCAUGAUACUUUUCUUUAUCAGCAGACAUGGGAGAAUGUCCAGAGCCAGCUCUUGUAAGAACAAAUCACAAGUCACGCUUGGAAGAAACAAACCAAGACAACCAAGCUGCAGAUUAAUGAGGAUUCCCUCAUGGCCUUUAAUUCAAAAUGUAACUGCUCCAACAAUGCCAAUUCCUAUAGAAUAUAUCAAAUGAAUAUUAAAUUAUAUUAUAGUGAACAUAAGUAGUGAGAUCAAAUGUGAAUGAAAUGUGAAUUUGCUCUAAUUGGAUUGAUGACGGACAUGCUUGAAGGCUACAUGGAAGAAGAGGUUACAUACCACAAUGUUCAGACCAACAUUUAUCACGGUUAAAGGAGGUGAUACAGCUAUAACUUAUGAUCACUGACCUGGAGCAACAAUCUCUGUAUCCAAGGAGAUCCAGAAGAUUUCAAAGCAGCAGACUUAUCUACAUACAUGCACAUUUUCAUGUGGCCUUAUUUCUAAAGAGAAGGAUACCUAAGUGAUACUGGAUUGCAUCCACUGACUGUCAAGGUCUCCCAAACAAUUGUCAGGGAUCUUCUAGGAACAUGAUCACCAUAUUCACCAAUACAACCAAAUGGUGGAUACUGUGAACAGAUAAAUGUCUUCUGAGGUUUACCCACCCAAAUGUUCAAAACUGAAGAUAUUUGUAGACUUUUCCUAGCUUACUGUACAACUGCAGAGAGAAUUCAUGUGACAACACUUCUUGGUCCCUCAAGAGUCCUUUUACUCUCUCAUGCACAGAUAUCCAGAUUUGGAAUAGUCUUCUUGCAAUGCAAUGGUUUCCUUUGCAAUUCUUUAAAUAACAGUACCUUUGUUGUCCUUCUACUUGGAGAAAGACUUUAGAGUACAGAAAACAUAUUACAAAGUAUAUGGAAACUUGUGGUCUUAUAUUGGGACAGAUACACUCCUCUUAAUAAGUUCACAUAUGGUGGUCAAAUGCUGUGGUCAAGCCUCUAUGCCUGUAUGUUUUCCAGCUGGUGAACACAGUGACUAAUACUGUAUGUACAUCAGACCCCUCUAUUGUCCUUCUUCUCUACUUCAAUAUCAAAAAAGAUGCCUAUUUAGCCUCAAAUGUUAAUGUAAAUUGUCCUCAGAGAUAGUCUCUCUUCCGGCCUCCAUAAUGCACUGUGCUGGAACACAAAAUAUACGAAUGAAUGUCCUAUAAUCAACAUGACCUGUACAUUUGGAAAAUAUAAAAUAUUUGGAGUUUGGAAAACAUUCAAUGUUACUACUAAAUACUUUAAAGGGACUCAGGCAGGUCCCCAAGAAACACAUCUGGCACUAGAAGCCCACUAAGUAGCUUUAUGCAUGGACAAUUCAAGCAAUCAAACUCUUCUAGAGCAUCUAAGAUUUAUGAAUACAGCAGACUUGUAUUUCUGUGUGUAUUAGUUUGUUUUGGUUUAUCCGUUACUUUUGCACAACCAUUUUAUACCAUGAUUCUAUAUACAUGACAUGUCUGACUGUUCACUGCUCUGUUACAUUUACUUUGUGAUGUACCACCGUUGCUAUGUCAAUAAAAAUUAUACUGGAAAAAAGUAACUGUACUAUGAUUAAGCAUACACAGAGCACAGAAACAUUUCUCAUUGCUUCUUGUCCUUUACUGUAUGUAAAGUGUAUGAUUGAACAUAUUGAUGCAAUGCUGUCAAAGACAUGGUCAUGAUUGAGAGCCUUUGUUCUCACUGUAUUGUGGUGAACUCCUGUUCUACGGGGCCCCCUUAUGUCCUUUGCUGUCUGAAGACAAACUAGAUUAGUGGCAUUUACUCUUACACUAAAGCUAAGCUUGGUGAAACCAAGAUCUUAUUAAUCUCAACCAAAAUAUUGUUAAACUUUACUUUCCAACCUUGGAUUGGACAAUAUACUUCUUUCAUAUUCCUGAUCAUUACAGUGUUUGUAAUGUAAUGUCUAUUGUCAUUAGCUCACCAACAUCAGGAAUCCCGAACAUUUCAUGUCUGAUCUUGCAAUCUCUCCCACAAUUUAUAUACUUAGCACUGUGUGGCUUUUUGGAAUUUAUAAAUUCAGUAUCUAUAGCUGGGUAUCAAUGCUUUCAGUGACAUUUGCCAUUCUAUCUGAUACUGGAAUACUGUAAACUAGAAAGUAUAGUCGCAGCUCUGACAAACAAAAUGUCAGCAUGUCCAGAGCCCCAGAGAAAGAUAGCUUUACAGGCACAGAUCAAUUUACAUGAUUGAAGCCUCUUUAGUAAUCACUUUGUUUGCCAAUGCUGAAUUGUCAAGUUUAAAUGUAACCGUGCAGAAAAGCACUACUGGUUUAGCCUUUGUGAUGGACUGUUACAUAUUCUAAACCAUGUUAUGUUCAUCUACACUACAAAAGAAUAUGAUAAAACUAGCUUCUUCUAGUCUUCUACCAAGUAGGAACUAUAGCUGAACUCUUUUCAAAAGGUAACUUUGUCAAACAGAUUCUGUAACUACAUUCAUGCCAUUGCAGAAUUUAAAGUGGAUAUAACGAGCUCCAGGUCAAUGAAAAAUAGCUAACACAUUUUAUAUUCUUAAGGUGCUUUUGCUUAUACAGCAGUUUCCAUUGGUAGAUGUGCUGUAAAGGUUAUUAGCACAGCAAAUGCUCUCUAAAAAGUAGAUGUUUGGUGAUCAUCCAGAUUUUAGAUAAAACUCGAUUGACUGGAAAUCUAUGGGAACUGAUUUCUUUGUUAUUUAAGAAAAUGCGUAUGUCCAUGUUAUGAAGUCAUUGACUAGUAGAGUGGUGUUUCCAAGCCCCAAUUGAGCUAUUCCCUAAAGUCCGAAUAGUCCGUACUAGAUGGGGAAAAAUUAUCAGGGUGCAUACAGGGUUUUCACACUGCAAAAUCUAGACAUUGUUCAGAUUAUUCAACAAUGUCUGAAUUUUGCAACAAAAAAAAAAAAAAAACAUUAGUCCACUAGCAGCACUAGCAGACAUCGGGCAAAUAGUUAAAAUCCCUCGGCAAGGGCUAAGUAUAUGGCAGAUGACCAUUGCUUUAUAGCUGUGCUUUAUUUAUUUAUAGCCAGCUAGCCAACUGCCACAUUAAAUAGUUAGAAAAAUAAAACAUGGGGAUUAUCUACCAGAUAUUUCAAAUUAGCGACUGAGUCACAAUGACUCAACAUAAAAUAUAAAAUAUCAAAGUACAUAAUAAAACACAAAUAUUAUGACAUAUUCUCGGAUAGCUUGGAUCUGAGCGCCCAAGUUGUCCAAAUAGUGCUCAGAUCCCACAAACACAGCCAAAUCGCCACGAGGUAAAGAUUUCAGGAGUCCCAAACUGAACAAAUCCACGAACGGUGCCCCUGGCUCAUAAGUAGCGUUUGUUCCCUGGGUUUGUGAGACCAAACCUACUGAACAGUGCUCUCCUGGCUGGUCAGGGAAAAGAAGCAGUAGUUUGCAAACUUGACCGGCAUGUGGGAAGUCGAGUGUCCGAUUUUGAGUUCCAGAUACUCGACGACCAAGUCACACUGCCUCUUUUUGUGCACCAAGAUGGCCGCCAUUUUCUCCAAAAUGUGUUGUUCAGCUACAGGAGGGGAGAGUGCUAAUUCCUGUGGUUUUCUUUGAACUUAAUUAGCCAGGGGUUGGUUGGUGUUCAGUAGAUUUAUCUACCAAACCAAAAAAUUGCAAAUGAGAACCGAAGUAUGUAGAUUUCUUCACAAUGCUCCCCCUAGUUUCAUUGAGUGGCACAUCUGCUUAUACCCUGCUGGGUUAGCUUGGGCCUCUCCGGUAGUACUGGAGUACCCAAGAUCUCUGAGAGGCCUCUAUAACGUCUAGCUCUAACAUUUCCUGAAUCACGGACAGCAUAUUUUUUCUGACGGCCUCAGGGAUACGGUACGGUUAUUGUCAUAGGGGCAUUUCUUCCUGGGUCUCCACUCGGUGGACCACAGAGGAGGUGUACCCAGGCAAUGAGGAAAACAUUUCCAAAUAUCCCUUCUCUAAGGAGUUGAAUUUCUCUCCUAGUCUGACUUGUUCUAUCGUAUCGGAGGAAGGGGCGAGCAAGUCAGGUAGGGGAAGACCCUUGUUAUCCUCAAACGAAGGGGCACAUACUGACGCUAUGUCCUCUACUCGCUAAAAGUAGGGCUUGAGCAUGUUCACAUGAAAGGAUCUCCGUAUCCUUUCAUCUGAACAUUUCCCCACUAUGUAGGUAGUUUCGCUUAUGUGCUGCACUACCCAGAAUGGUCCCUGUUACGCGUUCUGAAGUCUGUCUUUCUUAGACGGCUUGAGAGCUAACACCUUCUGUCCUAUUUCUAGGACCCUAUCUCUGGCACCCCUAUCAUACCACCUCUUCUGGCAUCGCUGAGCCACCUGCAGAUUCUCCAGGAUGGAGGCAGUGAGUGUAUGCAAGCGGUCCCUCAACUCCAAAACAUAGAGUACAAUAGGUAUUCUUUCCUCUCCUGUGUUGCCCUCCCAGUGUUCCCGUAUAAGCUCUAGGGACCCCCAUAUGUAAUGGUAAAUUAAGUAAUUUCUUUAUGUUUAUGAAAUUCUGAAUUUCAUAAAUAUGAAAUAAUACCACAAAUAAAAUAAUAAAAGGUAUACUGGUCAAUCACAUAAAUAUUAGUGAAUAUCUUGAAUGAACAGACAAGAGGCAAAGUUUUGAUGAAAGUAUAAACAAAACUUUACUGGGAAUAGAAUUAUCAAGUAGAGAUGUCGCGAACCGUCCGCGAACUUCUCGCGAACGGUUCGCCACGAACCGUUCGUGGUGAACUCCGGUCAGCUGACACAUCCCGGCCAAUCUCCAGCAGACCCUCCCUCCCAGACCCUCCCACCUCCUAGACAGCAUCCAUGUUGAAGCUGCUUUCAACAUGGAUGCUGUCCAGGAAGUAGGAGGGUCUGGGAGGGAGGGUCUGCUGGAGAUUGGCCGGGAUGUGUCAGCUGACCGGAGUUCGCCGUGAACGGUUCGUGGCGAACCGUGGCGAACCGUUCGCGAGAAGUUUGCGGACGGUUCGCGACAUCUCUAUUAUCAAGCACACAAAAAACAAAAACUUUAAAAACACACACUGCUAUAAACAAUACAUUCAGGUAAGAAAUCUACUUAGCUCUAUUCAUGGAGAUUCAGCAGCUUACACAGGAUAAUUGAAUUAGCAUAACACACAGAACAAUGAGGUGAGUUCCUUGCCACAUGUUAAAUGGAUUUACAUGGGUACCUCUAAAGACACCUGGCUUCUUCCGACCCAGUCAUGAAACUGCUCUCUAGUUUCUGGUAACCCCUUAAAUAACCUCCCAUCUAGUAUCCACCCACAGAGGUAACAUUACCAAUACCUAAUGGUCAUCUAUAGGAGGCGGAUACUACAUGUGGUCAUUUGUGAAAGGAAGUGACUUAAGAAUUCUCAAUACCUUCCUAAAGCACAUGUCUCAUUGACUAUGCGGCAACUAUCUUUAUUCACUCAACGUCACAGUGCUCACUAGGCCACCUAUAGGUCACUUCCUCCCUAAAGCACACGUCUCAUUAAAUAUGCAACAGCCAUCUUCUUGCUCUUAAUGUCACAUAGCUCACUACACCCCCUAUAGGUAUCAGAAUUUAUUGCACAUGAAUGGGAACACAAUAAUAGAACAUUUAUCACUGCCCAUAACCAAUACACCAUACUUUUCUCCUGUAAAGGAGUCUGAACGGGGAGAACCCUGUAGACGCCUGGAGCACUUCACGGUAGGCAAAAAGGAGAUAGGAGAUCAAUCUCUCCCAGUGACAACCGGAGGCUUUGAACGUUUUAAGCAUUUGCUUGGGCAUACCAUUAAAACGUUCACAGAGUCCGUUCAUCUGGGGGUGGUAGGGAGAGCUGAACAGGGGUUUCACUCCGCAACUCUGCCAUAACUUUUGGGUAAUAGUGGUGUAAACUGAGUCCCCUGAUCAGAUAAAAUCUCCCUGCUGAAACCAACUCUAAAUAUUUACUAGAGCCUCUGCCACAGUUUCUUCCUCUAUAUUAGAAAGAGCUACAGUAGCAUAGUCUACUCCCGCAAGGAUAUAGCUCUUUCCCAAGGUUCUGGGCUUACUGAGGGGACCUAUCAAGUCUACCACAACUCAGUGGAAGGCUUUCUCGAUGAUGGGUUAGGGGGGAAUUUCGCCUUCGGGUGGUCACCCCUCUUCCCUAUCCUCUGACAAGUGUCACAUGUCCUGCAGUAAUCCUGUAGGCCCAUCUGAUCCCUGGCCAAAAGAAGGUCUGGGUCAGCCGGUCUUUAGUCUUCCAGACCUCCACAUGUCAGGCUAGGGGAAUGUCAUGGCUGAGCUUGAGUAGCUCAGCCCUAACUUUACGUGGCACUAUUAACUGUCUUUUAGCUAUCUGCACAUCCCCACACCCUUAUCCCCCUGUCACCCUCUAUAAUAAACCUUGUCCCACUCAAACCUUUCCAGAACUAUAUCUCCUUGGGGGAUGCUGCCUCUUUCCUAUACCCUUCUAGUGUGGGGUCGGUCCUCUGCUCUUGCUCAAAGCCUUGGGUGGUACCUCAGAAUGGGAGAGGGACUUUGGUCAAAGGAGGGACAGAAGAUCCUACCUGAGGUUCCUUGGAGUGCACUGGCUGCCCCUGCAUGCUUGCGAUCUGGUGCUCACUGGUACAUUUCCUCUGGGAAGGUAUGUUGGAGCUGGGAAGUCAGGCAGCCCAGGUCAUUUCCCAAUAACACAUUGGCUGGUAGCUCCUUCAUUAUGCCCAUCUCCAAAUGUUUGGCUCCUGAGCCCCAGUUGAGGUGCACCCAGGCAGUGGGAAGCUUAGGUAUGGCUCCUCCCACCAUCCUUACGGCUACUGUUUUGUUGGUGUAUUUGGUGGCACUUAGUUCUUGGGGGCAAAACCAUUAUUGGCAAUCACAGAGGUCAGAUGUUUCUUGAAGUUGGCCACCAGGUUUAAACAAAUUUCAGGAGGGAUUUUGUCACACUCCUCUUUGCAGAUCCUCUCCAAAUCAUUAAGGUUUCGAGGCUGACGUUUGGCAACUCGAACCUUCAGCUCCCUCCACAGAUUUUUUAUGGGAUUAAAGUCUGGAGACCGGAUACGCCACCCCAGUACCUUAAUGUGCUUCUUCUUGAGCCACUUCUUUGUUGCCUGGCUGUGUGUUUUGAGUCAUUGUCAUGCUGGAAUACCCAUCCACGAGCCAUUUUCAAUGCCCUGGCUGAGGGAAGGAGGUUCUCACCCAAGAUUUUAUGGUACAUGGCCCUGUCCAUAGUCUCUUUGAUGCGGAGCAGUUAUCCUGUCCCCUUAUCAGAAAAACACCCCCAUGUUUGACGGUGGGGAUGGUGUUUUUGGGGUCAUAGGCAGCAUUCCUCCUCCUCCGAGAGUCUAAUGAAAUUUAUUUUGACUUUUUUUAAUUUUUAAAAUGCCUUAUGAUAUUCUUUAAAAUUGUUCUCUAACCUAUUUUUGCAAAGAAAGAAUGGGUUACUGAGUUAAUGCAAUGUUCCUAAUUUGGAUCCCUAUAAAAAGAUUAGUAACUACUGAUAUAGACAGAUAUACAGAUAUGGAUUUAUAGAACGCAUUAAUAAAGCAAGCACAGUUUCCAGACUUGUAUAUUAAAAGUACAUAAUUCAGAGAAAUUGCUUUUUCCCUAUCCCCUUCAUGACUAUCCAUUGUACUAUUAUUUUGUGCAUGUUUUUCUUGCUAUCUUGUUUCCUUCUAUCAUUCAAUGAUUGGCAUCUCUCUAUGUGUGCUAUCUUUACCAACAUCCUAAUUUCAUUAUUCUGCUCUUACUAGUUUUAUCACAAGGCACUUCAUUGUUCCAAUCUAGUAGCAAUACAGGCUACAUAGUGUGCAUUUUGAAAAAUGUAUAAGACUCAUUAUGCUUUAACAAUAAUGCUACAAAAAAAUGUAACAGCAUCUAGCAUAGUACAAAUUAGUAGAAGUGAGUAUUAUUAGGAUGACAUAACAGGAAUGUACAUCAAUUAUUUAACUUAUUCAUAAAUAUUAGUAAACAUGGAUGUUAAAAUGGCAGCAUUUUGGGAAUUGCAGAUCUAGAAAAUCUAGGGAUAUUAUAUGUGGUACCCCUUUUCUAGCACUGGAGCUUUGGCUCUGUCUGUGAGGGGAACCACUGUGAGCUGGCUGAGAGAUCUCCCUACUUAGCCCUUAGCCCUGAGCCCUCUUACAGUGCCACAACUCAUUUGCCAUUUUUCAUGUGUCACGUGGGACCCUGUGACAUAGAACUCCCACUUGCAUUUCCAUUUCAUUCAUGUUCUCACCCCUACCUGUUUCCACGCAAUACCUCUGCCACAUGCUGUAUUAGCGCAUCUAAAGCCUGGCAGAGGUUGGGACAGCCACAGCAACCUAGCAUGCAACUCAGCUUUUCAAGAAUACUCAGGGUACGAGAUGGGAUGGGGAGAGUAGAGGUGGGGGGAAAAAACAAAAGAGUCACAUGGAAAAUCAAAUCAGUAACACUUCAAUGUGCAUUUUCACCUGGAAAGAUGGUAGGGCCCAUACACUGUACUACUGAAGAGGCCUGUCUGGCCAGCCCCCAGACUUCUGGACCUUGCAGAGAGUGCUGCUCAAGUCUAGCUCAAGGGUCAUUGUGCCCAUGCACAGUUCAAGAACCAUUAAUGUGCUUCCCAAGGCAGUAUCCUAAUCUACCAGGAUGCAAAACACAAGGGAACUAAAUUGGGACAGUCCUGCCAAAAUCGGGACAAUCCCACUGAAAGUGGAAUUGUUGGAAGGCCUAAUGCAUGCACCAUGUGCCAAAUACCAUUUGUUUACCUCUGCAUUAACUCACACAUAUAUCACACACAUCUCUAUUCUUUUACACUGAUGCUUCACACAAAUACACCUUUCCUUCACAUUCAUACAUCAACUUCACCUUUAUUCACACAUACAGUGGCACUGCAAGAAUGAGGUGUUGAGUCUUAAUUAUUUAGGACUCUUUUAUUCACUCAUAUACAAUGAAUUUUACAUUAGAGGCUCACAGCAAAACAUACAUUAUUGUGCGUUGUUCAGUGAUUGCUUUUUUAUCUGCAGCACUGUGAAUAAGUUAUCUUAUAAAGCCCCUCCCAAUAUUGGGCCCUGGAUUCACCCCUAAAGACACACAUGGAGACCUGGGUAAUGGAAAGAAACACACAAAAGGGGCUGCAGAGAGAUACAUACAAGUGGAUUUAAAUUGAUUGCGAGAUAUUAACCAGGGGUCCUUCUGCAACCAAGCCUUGGUGGAAUUUGAGCUAUGUUUGGGAUCAUUGACUAGUUGGGAGGUCCAAUGAUGUCCAAGCUUCAGCUUCCUCACAAAUGGCAUGACAUGUUCUCCUAAGAUUUCCUGAUACUUCACUAAAUUCCUCUUGCCUUCCACAAGUUGCCAGUGCCAAUAAUGCAAAGCAACCCUAAAGCAAACCCACCACAAUGCUUAACUGUAGGUAGACUGUUCUUUUCAGCGUAUGCUUUAUUCUUCUUCCUCCAGACAUACCACUGAUUCAUCGGGGUUUAAUCGUUCCACAGAACAGAAUCUCAAAACUUCUGUGGCAAAUUUAUGUGAUUUUUAGUAUAUUGGAGCAUAGUUUUCUUGUGUUUUUUGGGUCAGUAGUGGUGCAUGUCAUGGAGUUCUGGCAUAGAGACCUUCUGCGUUUAGUAUGCAUUUUACAGUACUCACUGAAAUCUCAUUGCAUGUUGCCACCAAGUCUUGCUGCGUGUCUUUUACAGUCACUUGAGGGUUUUACAGAACCUUCUUUCUCAGAAAUCUGGUUGCAGCCAUUGAUAGCGUCCCUUUUCUGCCCUGUCCAGGUAGUGUAACCACUGCUCCUUCAACUUUGAACUUGCGAACUAUGCUUCCAAUGGUAUCUCUCGGAACAUUCAUUGCUAUCUUUUUGUAUCCUGUUCCUUGUUUAUGAAGGGUGAUGUUCUCUUCUCUUAACUUUGUGGACCAUUCUUUUGACUUAGCCAUAUUUCUAACAUGCAGUGAAACAUGACACUCAACAAACUCCUAGCCAGUUCAGGCAUUUUUAGUGUUCUAGCUAAAGCAAAUCUGGUACAACUAAUGAAGCCCUUGAUUAGUAAAAACACAUGUUUGGUGAGACAACACCUGUUUUGCAUAUUUAUAUUGUUGUGAGAGAUUCUACUCAGGGGAUUGAAUAAUUUUGAGACUGGAGAAGUCAUUAUAAGUUAAAUUUUCAGUUGAAUUUAGGGAAACCACUUGAAACAUUCAUUGUGUUGAGCUAUUUCAAUUGCUUUUGUCUGAUUUGUUCAUUCCAAUCAACUGAAAGUUUGUAAAUUUUGACAAUAAAUAUUAUUUUGAAGGAUUUUGAUUACAACCGUACAACAUUCAGACUGCACAUACAACACUUAGACAAUACAAUACAACCCUCAGCUUUCUCCAUUCUCCAUUUUUCCAUUCACCUCUAGGCAACCUGCCUAGGAUCCCGGGCAACCUUAAGCAAGCUUUGCAAGCAAUCACAAUUAGUAUCCAUAGUGAUUGCUCCACAUUUAGAACAUGACCUGAUGUUCUUAUUCGCGAUAUUUUUGAAAUCUCCUCAAACUUUUCCUCAUUAACAACUGGUAGAUCUGUCAUUGCCAUGAAUGACACAGUUAAAAUGACUGGACUUUUGAUUGAUUCAUCUGUGCAGUAUCCAAAACUUGUAUAUUCUAAACACCUGGACUGCAACACUCCCCUGGGAAUAGUAGUCAGUCAAGGAGCCCCACAGUUCUGACAGGUAGAUUUAAAGCAGAUUUACUGUAAAAGUAUGAGCCAAUCUCAAAUCUUGAAUCUUUUAAAAAUAAAUUUUAAUUUGUUUCUCAUGAAAUGGAUUUUUCAUUUGCUUAAUAAUUCUAAAUGUUAUGCUCUAUGAGUAUGAUAUUUUAGGAGACAUUUACAACAGCAGGCACAUUUUAUUAUUGCAGAAAUAUAACUUAUACUGUCAAUAACAAAUUAAAUAAACCAACUAUUUAAAUCACUUUUACUUUAUUGUUGAUUUAAAUCCUGAUUUAAAUCAAGCUACACCAGGAAACUGAACUAAUUAUGUGUUGACUCAGCCUUGAUAGAAUGCUACUGAUAUGAUAUAUUAGCAUAUAUAUUAGAACGAAUAGUGUAAGAUUGGCUCAUCUGAGUACAGGCACAUCUUAACGGUGUAUACUAUAGCAAAAUAAUCACUAUGGGCAACUUUCACAGCAUUAUGCACGCUUGUGCUAUUUCUAUUCUUUUUUUAUUGUUAAAUAGCAAUCAUUAAAGAUAAAUUAUGAAAUCCAGCCAGCAUAAGUAACUCUGAGCUAGCCUGUGUGGGCCUGAUGUGCCCCUAUUAUGUCAACCUGUCAUGGCAAGUUAACUUUAAAGGGACACUGUAGUCACCAGAAUAACUAUAGCUUAAUGCAGUUGUUCUGGUGAGUAUAGUCAGUUAGUGUAGGCUUUUGAAUGUAAAUACUGCCUUUUCAGGGAAAAGGCAGUGUUUACAUUACAGCCUAGGAACACCUCUAGUGGCCACUACACAGUGGCCACUAGAGGUACUUCCUGGGUCAGUGCUGCACACCUUGCUGAAUAAAUCAAUCUAUAACGAGAUGCUGAUUGGCUAGGGCAACGUUUGGCUCCACUUUGCCUCCUUUGACUGAGAACAUCAGAAUUGGCAAUCUCAGCAAAUCCAAUGCAUUACAGUGAGAGGAAAAAAGUAUUUGACCCCUGCUGAUUUUGAACGUUUCCCCACUGACAAAGAAAUGAUCAGCCUAUAAUUUUAAUGGUAGGUGUAUUUUAACAGUGAGAGACAGAAUAAUAACAACAACAACAAAUCCAGAAAAAUGCAUGUCAAAAAAGUUAUAAAUUGAUUUGCAAGUCAAUGAGUGAAAAAAGUAUUUGAUUCCCUAUCAGUCAGCAAGAUUUCUGGCUCCCAGGUGUCUUUUAUAUGAUUUGGUAAUGAGCUGAGAUUACACUAAUUUUAGCUUGUUACCUGGUUAAAAGACACCUGUCCACAGAAGCAAUCAAUUAAUCAGAUUCCAAACUCUCCACCAUGGCCAAGACCAAAGAGCUGUCUAAGGAUGUCAGGGACAAGAUUGUAGACCUACACAAGGCUGGAUGGGUCUACAAGACCAUUGCCAAGCAGCUUGGUAAGAAGGUGACAACCGUUGGUGCGAUUAUUAGCAAAUGGAAGAAACACAAAAUAACUGUGAGUCUCCCUCGGUCUGGUGUUCCAUGCAAGAUCUCACCUUGUGGAGUUUCAAUGAUAAUGAGAACAGCGAGGAUACAUGGGAUGAUUUUGAUCCAGUCUCCAGACCUUAAUCCCAUAGAAAAUCUGUGCAGGGAGCUGAAGGUUUGAGUUGCCAAAUGUCAGCCUUGAAACCUUAAUGACUUGGAUAGGAUAUGCAAAGAGGAGUGGGACAAAAUCCCUCCUGAGAUGUGUGCAAACCUGGUGGCCAACUACAAGAAACAUCUGACCUCUGUAAUGACUUAGAUAGGAUCUGCAAAGAGAAGUGGGACAAAAUACCUCCUGAGAUGUGUGCAAACCUGGUGGCCAACUACAAGAAACAUCUGACCUCUGUAAUUGCCAAGAGUUUUGCCACCAAGUACUAAGUUGAAGGGGUCAAAUACUUAUUUCACUCUUUGACAUGCAAAUCAAUUUAUAACUUUUUUGACAUGCGUUUUUCUGGAUUUUUUUUUUUUUUUUUAUUCUGUCUCUCACUGUUAAAAUACACCUACCUUAAAAUUAUAGACUGAUCAUUUCUUUAUCAGUGGGCAACAGUUCAAACUGAGCAGUGGAUCAAAUACUUUUUCCCUCAUUGUAUGUCAACAAAGGAGGUAGAUGGAGGCAGGCCAGUGCCGGCGGACCCACAUAGCACUGGAAUUAAGGUAAAUUUAUUCAUUAUUUAAGGGGGUAAGGGGAGUGCCAGGGACCCUACAUGUGUUUUUAACAUUAUAGUAUCACGAAUACAUGCUUUAAAUUGUAACAUAUCCUUAAACAAAUAAUAUAUAAUUUAUCAUAGACAUCAUGUCUAAAUCAGUAGUCCUUACUUCCAACCAUCCAUCCAUCUAAUCUACCUGUCGGUCAGCAUUAAAUAGGUAUGGGAUCCAGCCUUUUGUAUAUGUUACAUACAAUACCUUUUUGGUACAUUAGGAUUUUAUUUUUUGAUGUUAGAACAAUUGAACUUCUGUCCUAUAUUUAAAUAUGAAUUUACUAUUUUUUUUCCAGGGUCUUCCUUAUUAUCUUGUUAAUUGUCUUGUUGCGUUUUAUGGUUGGCUGCUGUCUGCAGUGCUGGAUAAAGAGACAAACGAGGUUUAUAUCUAGGCGUAUGGUCACAGUGGUGACAUUAAGCAGCCCAGAAUCUGUACAUGGUAAAUAUCUGUAACAUGAUUCAUUGCAGAUUUUAAAAAAAAACUUUUUUCCUAUUCUGUUACCAUAGAGAUACUCUAAGUGUAUAGAACUGUUUAACAAGAAGAAAGGGGAUGGAGACACACAGACUUAAAUAUGAGACUAUGUUAGAGACACUUGGGACAAGGCAAAAGGAUUCACAGAAAAGACACAUGUGGAAAGGGAUGGAAGGAAUUAAGGUGGGCAAUAUUAGAGGCAAGGGCACAAGAUAAUGUCACAGUAGGAAAGGAGUUCUACAAAGGCUUUGAUAAGGCUUUGAUAAAUAAUCCAGCAUACAUCAGAGAGAUGGAUAUUACAUUCACAGGGUAAUAAAAACCCACAAAUCUGAAAGAUCCCACAAGAGGGCAGCAUUGGCAGGGAAACCCCCAGAAGGGAUUAGAUUGUAUAAGGAAAAUCCACAAAAGUGUAGACAGAGCAAACGCAUUUGACAACCAUUAACUGAAAGGAAAUGGCACACAGGAAAGAGAUCAAAUGAGAUAACCGAGGGUUUUUGGAAAUAUCACAAAGAAAUAUAUGAGUAAAGAACACCUUAAAGGGAAUAGACAAACCAAAACAUAUAAGAGAAGGCAAGGAGUGCGACAAGAUAAGGUAGGGUAUCGCACAUCCGGGAGGUAUUGGGCUUACAGGAGAACGGAGAAAACAGGGGUGAAAAUAUAAACAGAAUGCAAGCAAAUGUGACACAUGAAAGGAAAAGAAAAUGGGUCGCAUGGUAAAAAUAAAAAUGGCCAGGUUUAUGUUUUUUUUAUUUUGCUCUAUUUUUACAUUUUGAUUAUUUUAUGUUUAUUUGAGUUAACAGUGCAUAUACAUUUUUAUGCAAUACUACAAGGUAUACUUAACCCUUGGCAGUGCACAUACUGAGUGUAAAGGUGCACAGUUCGUACAUAGAAUGGAGUAGGAGAUCCCUAUUCCACAGAUUUAACAAGCAAAAUAACCAACGCAGUGCCCUUGCAAUACUUAAAGCGAAUCCACCUGCUCUAUUAUUUUAAUUUAUAUCAAUUACUCAGUAACUAUAAGGCAGACUUGUAUUGAUAUGAUAAUAAUUUGCAGAUAUAAGCAAGGAAUAGGAAGUCAUACUACCAACCUUAGAGUAAAUGGAGAGAAAGUCCCCUCAAAAGGAGGCGAUUAAGUAUCAUCAAUAGAUACAUGUUGGAUCAAUCUGUUUUAGAUAGAGAGUUCCAAACUGGAAUUCUUCCAGAUCUAUUCAUAAGCUAGAUAAAUUACAGAUGGAAGUUAAUGCUAAUUGCCCCAAAAUCUGAUGAAUAAUGAUUGCUAGACACUGCUAGAACAUUUAACAUUGGCCUACAUCCUUUCUAUUUGGCCUACAGUAGGUUUGGAGAUUUGCUUCCUCACGUUACUCCGUAGUAACAUAACUCCAUAAUAUUACCUCGUGUUAGUCUACAGAAACAAUCCUUUAAUAUAUCAUAUUUUUUUCCAGCAGAUAAAUAUCUAGGAAAAGCAAAAAUAAUUAAUAAAUAAAUAUCUAACAGAAACAGACGAAAUGUGAGUUAAACCCCUGCAGUUAGAAAAAAGUGCUACGAACAUAUCAUGCUCUGUUUCUUUAGAGCCCAGUUAUCAUGCAGAGAGUCUUUUUGUUGUUGACACUUUUAUAAUUGGGCUCUGUAGAAUAACAUAGGAGUAGAAGAACAUUUUCUGACUGUAGAGUUUACUCAAAGUUUCAUAAAAUGAUGUACGUGAAUCUUUUCUUAAAAGAAAAUAAUGGGAAAUUGUAUUUUCACUGCAAAGCAUGUUACUCACUUGAUAGCGAGAUACAUUAUUACUUUUUUUUUAAAUAAGUUUUGGUGAUGGAUUACCUUUUAGAUUCACAUUUCAAGACAAAAUUAGAGUUUUGUGCACUAUUUUUGCUGUAGUUUGUGCUCACAUUCAUUUUUUGAUUAGACACAGUAUUCAUAACUGGAAAUGAAGUAAUGCCAUUUUUUCCCCCAGUUGCUGAAUCGUCCCAGUGUCACAGGCCCCAUCUAUGGGUUCCACAUCAGAACAUCAUGACCUCAACUUCUGGUAUUUCCUUAAGAGGACUGGAAUCAGGGGCUCCACCUUCCUAUGAAGAACUGUUCAACAUCAGUACAAGCAAAUUCUAACUCAUUUUGUGAAGAUCAUACUUUUAGGCUAAUUACCUGGUUUUAUCUUGAAAGCCAAUAUGCACAAUGAGAGAACAUAUGUCCUCUCUACUGGAAUAAAUUCAUUAAUUCACAAAACAUUUUAAAUGAAUUUGUGGUGAGCUAAAUUUUGUGAAGGAUGAUUGAUUCAACAUGAGAUAAUUAGAGCCUCUCUUCAUCAAGUGUAAUUGACAAUGUAGAUUUAGUUUUGAUUAGAUUUUCGAUAUAAUUAAGUGAACAAUUUAAAAGAGAAUGCUGUCCUUAGUCAUCUUUCAAACAAAACCCCAUAAGUCAAGUUUGACGAUACCCCUACUUAAUCACACUUUUGUCUUUGAGAAUGACUGAAACUAUAAUUAAAACCACAAUUUAAAGAAAAGAGAUGUGCAGAGGAUUGAAAACAUAUUACUGAUGCAAGAACCAAUAUAUAUAUAUAUACAUCCAAUUACAAAAUCACAAUGCAUAGCAGCAAAACAUCUUAGUGCUUCAUAAUGAAGCAAUGAAGCCUUUCAAGUAAGGUAUCCUUAUAUAUAUUACUAUUUUACAUUCUAGGUGUAAAUCUUUAUAUUACAUUCUGAGUAUCAAGUGCCCUCAACAGAAUUGUAGAGGCUAUCUUUAUUCAACUGAACCUGUUAUCAGUUGCAAUGCUAAAACUUCAAUUCUCUACAUCACUCAGUUAUAGAAAAAAAAGCACAAGUGAAUAUAGAAUAUUUAUAAUCUCCAGACAUAUCUGUGCCUACUGUUUAUAUUUGCUGUCACUUUGUCUUUUGUAGGGGAAAUGGGGAUUUGUAUUUGUAGCUAUCACCUGGUUAUACAGCAACGUUUAUUUAUGUUUGCUAUCUUCGGUACAUUUGUACAUAUGAUACAAAGGUAUAUUUUAAAUAAUUUCACAUUAUUCUGACAAAGUUAAAUAUUAUUGCGUGGGUUACACAGUAGAAGUAAAGGGUGUUGAUUACUGAAGAGACACAAUUAGACUUUUCAUUCAGAACUCAUGCAUUUGGUACUAUUUUGCUGCUAAUCUGCCAAUAAUGAGAUAAAAUAUGAAUAACUGCUUAUGUGAUUUUGUAAACCAGCAAAAAUAAAAGAUAAAGAAAGAAAAGGGACAGGGGGAAACUACUUCUCCACUUCCAUUUAAGAAAGGCAAAACGUGGUAAAAUCAGGAUAUUUAUUAAUAUCUGGCUUCUCUGACUUGACAUAUCCCAUUAGCAGUCACAUGACAGCUGAUGGGAAAAUGUAUUGUCUCAGGUAAUACACAAUAGAUGUCUGUGUUAUCUGUUUUUGUAUGCACAAGAAUAUGGUUUGAAAAUAAUAAGUACUAAUGGUGUCUUCUACAGACUUUCUUUUAAACACAUACAUCACCAAACACGAAAAUUUUUAUUUUUGUGGCUUGUUAUCUACAAAUAGAAACGUUGUGGUAGGUGUAGCUCAAGCUGUGAUUUCAAUAUGUUAUCCAGAUAUUUAUAAAUAAUAAAAUGGAUGCUGAUGGCAGAUACAGUACAGUUGGUCCAUUUACUCUUCUAUAUCAUAUUUGCGUACAAUAGAUCAAUUAAAUGUAUCAUUAAGUAGAGCCUGUUCCACCCAGUAAUUCUUCACUAGUUAAUUGUCACUUUUUCUGAAAGAUUCCAUCAAGUCUUUACCAUCAUUAAUGCAGUGAAUGAGCAGGCUCGUGUUGUUUGAUCUGUAGAAAGUGUGAUGGUUCUGUUCAGAUCUGGACUGCACUGCAAUGGCAUUACUGGGAACUAGAUUGGCUGAAUAUCACGUCAAUUGUAUUUCACAGAUUUUACAUUGCAGGACACGCUAUUUUUAUGGACAAUGACAGCUUCCAAUUAUCGAUAUUUGUUUGGAUACAUCCUUUAAAGUAGGACAAACUAUGGUAUAAACCUACAGGUUUACUACUGUAUAUUUUAUUUGUGACUUAAAUUAAAUUAUUAUUGUAUUUCCUUAUGGUACAGGCACAUCAUUUAAAUGGUAAGCACCUGGGGAC
rnacentral:lncRNA from 1 species